AACACGCAUAUAGGUAAUAAACAGCUGCGCCAUGAGCGCAUGAUACGCCCGACGUCUUAUGUGGAAGUCUUAUGCAAUAAUCAUAAAUAGUUUAUGAGAAAGUUUUAAGCAAUAACCAUAUAUUGUUUUAGAGACACGGCGGGACAUGUGAAACCCCCCACCCUGUUUUUUUUUACAAAAACUAAAUACUACCAAAAUAAAAUUUUGAAUCAAAACCAAAAAGUAUACAGAUCUUUAAAUUAAUAUAUCAAAGAAGUGUGUAAAGUUUUAAGCAAUAAUCAUAACUUAUUUUUGAGAUAUGGUGCGACAUGUAAAAAACCCUCCCCUGUUUUACAAAAUACUCAAUAACUCAAAAAUAAAAUUUUGAAUAAUCACCAAAAAGUAUACAGAUCUUGAGAUUAAUAGAACAAAGAAGUGUGUAAAGUUUUAAGCAAUAAUCAUAAAUCGUUUUUGAGAUACGGCACAACAUGUAAAAAAACCCUCCCCCUUUUUUACAAAAUAC
rnacentral:lncRNA from 1 species